rnacentral:ncRNA from 1 species
AGAGAUAGAGGCGCGAAUUGCAUCAGUAUCCGGAGUAACGGCACGUUUUCGCCACCGGAAAAAGGGUACUUCGCCGAAAUCCCGACAAAAGGACGUUUUGCGUCGGGGUUGGGCCGCGACAGAAUAUGUCGCGGACUGUCACGUUUUGCGUGGAGGGCUAUCG